rnacentral:rRNA from 1 species
GUUUGAUGGCGACCGGCGCACGGGUGAGUAACACGUAUCCAACCUGCCGAUAACUCGGGGAUAGCCUUUCGAAAGAAAGAUUAAUACCCGAUGGCAUAAUAGAACCGCAUGGUUUGAUUAUUAAAGAAUUUCGGUUAUCGAUGGGGAUGCGUUCCAUUAGGCAGUUGGUGGGGUAACGGCCCACCAAACCUUCGAUGGAUAGGGGUUCUGAGAGGAAGGUCCCCCACAUUGGAACUGAGACACGGUCCAAACUCCUACGGGAGGCAGCAUG